GACGAACGCUGGCGGCGUGCUUCCCUCUUGCAAGUCGAGCGAUGAAGCACCUUCGGGUGUGAAUUAGCGGCAAACGGGGGAGGAACACGUGAAAAAUCUCCCUUCAACUCUGGGAUAACUCCGGGAAACCGGGGCUAAUACCGGAUAUGAGCCUUGAUCGCAUGAUCGGGGCUGGAAAGUUUUUCGGUUGAAAAUGACUUCGCGGCCUAUCAGCUUGUUGGUGAGGUAAUGGCUCACCAAGGCGACAACGGGUAGCCGGCCUGAGAGGGCGACCGGCCACACUGGGACUGAAACACGGCCCAAACUCCUACGGGAGGCAGCAGUGGGGAAUUUUGGGCAAUGGAGGAAACUCUGACCCACCGACGCCGCGGGAGGGAUGAAGGCCUUCGGGUUGUAAACCUC
rnacentral:rRNA from 1 species